GUCUUCUUGUUAUAAAUAGGAAGUCUGACCUGCCCGGUGAUUAUUAUUUUAACGGCCGCGGUAUUUUUGACCGUGCAAAGGUAGCAUAAUCAUUAGUCUUUUAAUAGGAGGCUGGUAUGAAAGGUUUGACGAAGUGUUAACUGUCUCAAUUAAUUUAAUAUUAAAAUUUAACUUUUUAGUUAAAAGGCUAAAAUUUGGUUGAAAGACGAGAAGACCCUAUAGAGUUUAAUAUUUAUUUUAUAUAUUGUUAUUAUAAUUUUCAUUUUAUGGAAUAAAUAUUUUGUUGGGGUGACAAGAAUAUAAAAAUAACUUUUUUAUUUAUAAGUCAUUGAUUUAUGUAUAUUAGAUCCAAUCUUAUUGAUUGUUAGAAUAAGUUACC
rnacentral:rRNA from 1 species